CUACAGUAGGCCUUCUUCUGUAUCUGGCUUUAUUCAGACAGCAGGAUGUUUAUAGUAUUCAUCGCUGACGUUCUCAGUAUCGAUAUCAAUAGCUCGUUCCUUCUUGCAGGGUAAUAGUCCAUUGUGUGCACAUGGAACAAGUUGCUCGUCCUUCCCCUGCCCCAAGUGGGCACUGGGUUCACUCUGCUUAACUGUUUGAAAAACUGUCAGACUGUUUUCUGAAGUGGCGGCAGCAGCUUCCACGCCACCCGCAGUCUCAGGCUUCGUUUCUUCACAUCCUCACCCAAACUGGUUCUCACCUGUUUUUACUGACACCGUCCCCGCGGGAGUGAAGUGGUGUCUUGUGGUUUGGAUUUGUGGCUCCCUCAUGGCUGAUGGUGCUGAGCACUGUCGUGUGCCCGGUGCCCGCUGACGCCUCCCUGGGAGCAGCGCCUGUGCAGGCCCCUGCCCACUGUUCCGCUCACUUUCAGGGCCGGUAGCGACGUGGUUGGGUGCAAGCCAACGGUUGUCCUUCUUCCCCUCAUGUUAUUUGUUCUGUUCUUCCUUUCUUGCCCUCUUUUGUAUUGAAUAUUUUUAUGUUCAAUUUAAUCUUCUUUACUGUUUUUAAGCAUUAUAUUUUUGUUUUAUUUUUCAGCGGUUGCUCUAAGAAUUGCAAUAUGCAACCUUAACCGAUCACCCUCCUCCUUAACUAACUAUGAUACUGCUUCAUGGAUAGGGUAAGAAGCUUACAACAGUAUCAAGUGUGGUACUCCCAAUAAUAUAUUCUUUAAAAUUUUUGCUUAAGCAGUCAAUGAUCUUUCAAGAAAGUUAAGAAAAAUUAAGAAACUGCCCAUAUAUUGACGUUUUCCGGUGAGCCUCAUUUCUUCUUAAAGACCCAGGGUUCUAGCUUGCAUUUUUUCCCAGUAGUCCUCACCCGUGCACGCCUCAGGCGCCAGGUGGCACAUGGUGAUCCCCCCAUCACCACGCUGGAAAGAGCAGUGAGGCCGGCUCUGGUGCUGGCGUCUUAUGUUGCCAAUGACACUGCCUGGCCCCAUCCUAGCUCCUUCCUUCCACAGGCACAGGUAACAGCAUCAUGGUCAUGAAAAUGAAUGGAUCCCUCCAUCAAGAAUUGAAGAUUGAGGAGAACUUCAAAGACACCAGUACCUCCUUCCUGGCCUUCCAGCUCCUUCCUGAGGUAUCCCAGCAGGGGCUGUGGGCCCAGCACGCGCGUGGCCCGGGGCCCAUAGCCCACACCGUGCCCUGUGUUUCAGGAGGAGCAGCUGUGGGCGGCCUGUGCAGGACGCAGCGAGGUUUACAUCUGGAGCCUGAAGGACCUGGCCCAGCCCCCGCAGAGGGUGCCCCUCAAGGACUGCUCUGAGAUCAACUGCAUGAUCCGGGUGAAGAAGCAGGUAGGGUGGAGGGCCCGCCAUCCCCAGCAUCCCCGGCAGGUCUCGCUUGCCCUGGCCGCAUCCCCAUGCUCCCGAGAGCCAGCCGCACGCCCUCGUGCCCUCCUGCCUUCGCCUCUCAGGGCUCCCCUCCUAACAGGCACGUGCAGGGUUGGUGCCAACGGGCCCACAGGUCACCAUGUGCUGGUUUCAUGGUGUGGUCCAAGCACUCCACAGCGCAUUCCCCCAAACUGGAUGGCUU
rnacentral:sRNA from 1 species